rnacentral:rRNA from 1 species
UCUAGAGGCUUCGGCAAUGGGGGAAACCCUGACCGAGCGACGCCGCGUGGGGGAUGAAGCACCUCGGUGUGUAAACCCCUGUCAGUUGGGCUGAAGGCCCCGAUGGUGAAUCGGGGAUUGACCAACCCAGCAGAGGAAGCCCCGGCUAACUCCGUGCCAGCAGCCGCGGUAAUACGGAGGGGGCAAGCGUUAUUCGGAUUCAUUGGGCGUAAAGCGCGCGUAGGCGGAUCGGCAAGUCAGGUGUGAAAGCUCCCUGCUCACCAGGGAGAGGCCAUCUGAAACUGCCGGUCUUGAGGUCCGGAGAGGCAAUCGGAAUUCCCGGUGUAGCGGUGGAAUGCGUAGAUAUCGGGAAGAACACCAGUGGCGAAGGCGGAUUGCUGGACGGCACCUGACGCUGAGGCGCGAAAGUGUGGGGAGCGAACGGGAUUAGAUACCCCGGUAGUCCACACCGUAAACGUUGGGCACUAGGUGUUGCGGGUAUCGACCCCUGCAGUGCCGCAGUCAACG